rnacentral:rRNA from 1 species
CUUUCUUACACCGAAUGCUUGCAUUCACCGUAAGAAGUUGAGUGGCGGACGGGUGAGUAACACGUGGGUAACCUGCCUAAAAGAAGGGGAUAACACUUGGAAACAGGUGCUAAUACCGUAUAUCUCUAAGGAUCGCAUGAUUCUUAGAUGAAAGAUGGUUCUGCUAUCGCUUUUAGAUGGACCCGCGGCGUAUUAACUAGUUGGUGGGGUAACGGCCUACCAAGGUGAUGAUACGUAGCCGAACUGAGAGGUUGAUCGGCCACAUUGGGACUGAGACACGGCCCAAACUCCUACGGGAGGCAGCAGUAGGGAAUCUUCCACAAUGGACGCAAGUCUGAUGGAGCAACGCCGCGUGAGUGAAGAAGGUCUUCGGAUCGUAAAACUCUGUUGUUAGAGAAGAACACGAGUGAGAGUAACUGUUCAUUCGAUGACGGUAUCUAACCAGCAAGUCACGGCUAACUACGUGCCAGCAGCCGCGGUAAUACGUAGGUGGCAAGCGUUGUCCGGAUUUAUUGGGCGUAAAGGGAACGCAGGCGGUCUUUUAAGUCUGAUGUGAAAGCCUUCGGCUUAACCGGAGUAGUGCAUUGGAAACUGGAAGACUUGAGUGCAGAAGAGGAGAGUGGAACUCCAUGUGUAGCGGUGAAAUGCGUAGAUAUAUGGAAGAACACCAGUGGC